CUGCGAAUGGCUCAUUAAAUCAGUUAUCGUUUAUUUGAUAGUACCUUACUACAUGGAUACCUGUGGUAAUUCUAGAGCUAAUACAUGCUAAAAACCUCGACUUCGGAAGGGGUGUAUUUAUUAGAUAAAAAACCAAUGCCCUUCGGGGCUCCUUGGUGAUUCAUAAUAACUUAACGAAUCGCAUGGCCUUGCGCCGGCGAUGGUUCAUUCAAAUUUCUGCCCUAUCAACUUUCGAUGGUAGGAUAGUGGCCUACCAUGGUGGCAACGGGUAACGGGGAAUUAGGGUUCGAUUCCGGAGAGGGAGCCUGAGAAACGGCUACCACAUCCAAGGAAGGCAGCAGGCGCGCAAAUUACCCAAUCCCGACACGGGGAGGUAGUGACAAUAAAUACUGAUACGGGGCUCUUUUGGGUCUCGUAAUUGGAAUGAGUACAAUCUAAAUCCCUUAACGAGGAACAAUUGGAGGGCAAGUCUGGUGCCAGCAGCCGCGGUAAUUCCAGCUCCAAUAGCGUAUAUUAAAGUUGUUGCAGUUAAAAAGCUCGUAGUUGAACCUUGGGUCUGGCUGGCCGGUCCGCCUCACCGCGAGUACUGGUCCGGCUGGACCUUUCCUUCUGGGGAACCUCAUGGCCUUCACUGGCUGUGGGGGGAACCAGGACUUUUACUGUGAAAAAAUUAGAGUGUUCAAAGCAGGCCUUUGCUCGAAUACAUUAGCAUGGAAUAAUAGAAUAGGACGUGCGGUUCUAUUUUGUUGGUUUCUAGGACCGCCGUAAUGAUUAAUAGGGAUAGUCGGGGGCGUCAGUAUUCAGCUGUCAGAGGUGAAAUUCUUGGAUUUGCUGAAGACUAACUACUGCGAAAGCAUUCGCCAAGGAUGUUUUCAUUAAUCAGGGAACGAAAGUUAGGGGAUCGAAGACGAUCAGAUACCGUCGUAGUCUUAACCAUAAACUAUGCCGACUAGGGAUCGGGCGGUGUUUCUAUGAUGACCCGCUCGGCACCUUACGAGAAAUCAAAGU
rnacentral:rRNA from 1 species